GAUGAACGCUAGCUACAGGCUUAACACAUGCAAGUCGAGGGGUAACGAGAGGGAAGCUUGCUUUCCUUGUCGACGACCGGCGCACGGGUGAGUAACGCGUAUCCAACCUGCCCCCAACUAGGGAAUAACCUUGCGAAAGUAAGACUAAUACCCUAUAAUUUCCUCAGAUGUCAUCUGACGAGGAAUAAAGAUUUAUCGGUUGUGGAUGGGGAUGCGUCUGAUUAGCUUGUUGGCGGGGUAACGGCCCACCAAGGCAACGAUCAGUAGGGGUUCUGAGAGGAAGGUCCCCCACAUUGGGACUGAGACACGGUCCAAACUCCCACGGGAGGCAGCAGUGAGGAAUAUUGGUCAAUGGGCGGAAGCCUGAACCAGCCAAGUAGCGUGCAGGAUGACGGCCCUAUGGGUUGUAAACUGCUUUUAUACAGGAAUAAAGUUAGCCACGUGUGGUUAUUUGUAGGUACUGUAUGAAUAAGGACCGGCUAAUUCCGUGCCAGCAGCCGCAGUAA
rnacentral:rRNA from 1 species